GGCCGGUUAACUCUUGCAAGUCUGAUACACACACCAUUUUAUGCUCUUUAGCUGAUGGUCCUUUCCUCUUUAUACUACCAAAGAGUUCUCUCUGAUAUUGAAGAAAGUUUAAAACAUCUCCCUGGUCCAGGUGAUAUUUGAUUGCAAGGAACCAAAACUCAGUCCAAUUCACACACACACAUGUUUAUUGUAUUAAAAGAUAUAGACCUCAUAAGUAGCAAGAAACAAAUAAGCCUAAGGAGGGAAUGAACCAAGACUCUCCAGGCACCUCAGUCAGCAGUUGCUCCUGGAUUUUCUGUCCAAUGCUUAGUUAAAAAAAAAAAAAAAAAUCAUCGUAUCAGCUGCUUCAUAGCCAAUGAAUUGGAACCCUAGCUCAUGUGUCUACCCUGAUCAGUAGCCAAGGUUAUGCAGGACCUAGAGCUACCCCUUGGGGAAAUGAGUGGAAUAGGUUGAGUUUAGGUCAGAGCAAUGUUCAUAAAGACAAGUAUCCAUUAUUCUUGUUCAAGGCCCCAAUCUCAGCCCUACCACUGUACAAAUAAUUCAUCAGCAUGACUGUGGAGAUUGCUUGAAAACAUAUAUGUGAAUUGGGACCAAUUUAUCUCUGCUACUGAAGGAGAAAAAUUUUUGCAAUAAUUCAUAGUCCUGGAUGUACUGAUAGGAAUCAGUAGUAUCAUGUUAACCUGCAAGGAUCAUGACUUGUGAAGAAAAACCCAAGCCCAGUUUCCUUUUUUUCCUACAAAUUGGAGACAUGAAUUGGCCAGACUCAAGGAAUGGAGUUCCCAUGUUGGUGCAGUGGAAACGGAAUCCAACUAGAAACCAUGAGGUUGCUGGUUCAAUCCCUGGCCUUGCUCAGUGGGCUAAGGAUCCAGCAUUGCCAUGAGCUAUUGUGUAGGUUGCAGACAUGGCUCAGAUCUGGUGUUGCUGUGACUGUGGCAAAGGCCAGCAGCUGUAGCUCAGUUUAGACCCUUAGUCUGGGAACCUCCAUAUGCCAGGCAUGUGGCAGGUUACAGGUUACAGGUUUAUGCUAUCUCACAAGGUGUAUAGUUGAAAAGAUGAAUCAAAGACGAUAAUGGUGGUGAAUAGCUCACAUUGUUAGGAUGGGAUUUGGAGUCAGAUUUGGUUCAGGACAGGAUUCCACCACUCACUGCCUGUGAGACUUUGAUCAAAUUACUUAAUCUCUUUGACCCUCAGUUCCCUCAGCGUUAAAAUGAGAGUGAUAACGCUACUGAUCUCAUAGGAGGCUGUUGAGAGCAGUGAGAAAAAGGAUGCAAAGAGCUUAACAUGCUGCCUGGCAUGUAUGUGCUGCCUUUAUCAAAUAAUUUAAAUAGACCUUUCAUAUAUGGCAAUGCUUGUUUUAUGACAUCUCUUUCUACGCUCUCUAAAUACUGCUUUGCAUGUGCAUGCAUAACUUUUCAUUUUAAAAAUAAGCAAACAAAAAAGAACAUUCAGCAAAUAAUUGAGAAGGAGAUAAUUCUAGUCUGGGCAUGCCAAUCAAAAUAUUAACAAAGGAAGAAUGGAAGCUGAUCAGAUGUUAAGAAGGUGUGACUUUGAGCUCGCAAGUAAACCUGAGAUUUCCAUCAAUAAAUGUGGUUUCCUCCUCUGUCUCCUUGUUUUGUUGAGCUGAAAUACAGAAUUAGGAGGCACAUAUUCUAGGCCAGCUCUGUGAAGCAAACCACCAGCCACUUGCAGGACUUAAAUUUAUAGCACCCAUAAAAUGUAUAGUUAUGUACGAGAAUACAGAAUAAACAGUCUAGAAGAUAAGAAAUUUAAUAAAAAUUGCAGAUACACACAGCCAGCUGCUAAAGGUUGGAAUGGCAAUAUUUUUAGCGGUGGAUAUGUGCUGCCAUUGAAUGCUUAAAUCAGUGCAGGUGGGACAUUAAAAGCUUCUGCGAGGUCAGGUUGCUCCAGGUACUUUGCAAGGUUAUAUCAUCCAUGAAUGAAUGAUUUUGCACAGGAGAGUCAGAGGCCAGAGUAUCCUCUUAGUCCCCAAGGAUUCUCAUCUGUUGUGACUAGCAAAAUCCCAAAGUAAGAGGACAGGUCAGAGAUCUGAGAUCCAGGGCCUUGCUGGAACGCGUCGAUUCUUAGAAGUAAGCGUCUUGGUAUGAUAAAUACGAACUCCUCAAGCCCGUUAGGGAAUGGAAAUUUAAGAACCGGUUAGGUCAAAGAUCAGGAAAUUUAUGACGAUUAUCUGCGGUUACAGUGUAGAGUGUUUGAGGAUGGUUUAAGCCAAAGAGUCCAGUGCCUGUAAAUCUUGAGAGUGAUAUUAAUACCUCUGUGAGCAUGUGUGUACAACGUUUCUGAAAAGAUUAAUUGCAAAGGCCAGUUCCCAGGAAAGACAAGCAGGUAAUUGGCAUUUAAUUAAUGAGAAUAAGUUAUAUUAAAUUAAAGACUUAUAAUCCUUGAUUAUUUAUCUUCUUGUAGCCAGUGUGACAAUCUACUCUUAGAUUAUUAACUUGGUACUGUUUUUCAAGAGGCCAAACUAAACCUUCUGUUCAGACUGUAUAAAUAAGAAUACGUUUGCAUCUCAACCAUGGGAAUGAAGUGAAUUUGGGGAAACCACAGAAGGAUUUUUUUUAAGCAUAAAUGAUUUAAAAAUUAAACCCAGCAGAGCAUGCAAGUUAUUCUCAGGAAUAUUCCACACCUCCAAAAUCCACAAGAGUUGUAUUAUUGUAUAGCAGAAAGGGUAUAAGCUUGAGGGUCAGUCUGACCUGGGGUUGAGUCCUGGCUCUGCUUCAUAUUAACCCUAUAACCUCAGGUAUGUUAUUAAAAUUCUCUGAGGUUCCGUUCUCUUACCUUCAUAAAUGGGAAAAUAAUACGCACCUGGCAUACAGAGUUUUAAAAAUUAAAUACUUUAAAUUCCCUUGGUCCACUACCUAUCACAUAGACAAUGUUCAAUAAAAGGUUUUUCUCUUAAUUUGUUCUCUUGUAGCAAGGGAUGUCAGAGGUUAGAAAAUUAUUAUAGAAUAAAAUUGAAAGAUUCAUUCUAUUUUGAUAAGUAUUAUUAAAGAUACAUUAACACAGGGUGGUUUGGGGAAUGGAUAGAUACAUACUUCAAUGGAAUAGACUAGAAAGUCCAAAAUGGACCCACACAAGUAUGACCAAUUCAUUUUUUUUUUUAAUGAAAAGGCAGUUCACUGAAGAGAGUCAGGUCUUUUCAACAAAUGGCAUUAGGACAAUUGGGCUUCAUAUGCAAAAACAAAUAAACUUAGACCUAAACCUCAUACCUUAUACAAAUUCAAAAUAGAUAAUUGGUCUAAUUUUAAAACAUGAAUCUGAAAGAGUUUCAGAAGAAAACACGAGAGAAAAUAUUCAUAAUCUGGAAUCAGACGAGUUCUUAAAUAUGACAUGAAGAUCAUAAUCUGUACAACCAAAAAUUGCGAAGUUGGACUUUUUUGAAAUUAAAAACUUUUGCUCUGUUAAUGACACAUUUGAAAAAUGAAAAGGCAGAGUCCCCUUCAUGUCUCAGUGUUAACGAACCCAACCAGGAUCCAUGAGGAUUCGGGUUAGAUCCCUGGCCUUUCUCAGUGAGUUAAGGACCUGGUGUUGCUGUGAGCUAUGGUGAAGUUUGCAGACGUGGCUCAGAUCC
rnacentral:lncRNA from 1 species